rnacentral:lncRNA from 1 species
GCCUGGAUUUGCUCCAGUUCCUAGGAAACAGUAUCUCAGUUGGCACUGAAGAUCCUGGAAGACUGAAAUAAAGAGAAAGCAGGAGGGGAUGCUCGGGACUUCCUGGCUCCUGAUUUGGAGCAGAAGCACCUGCGACUGAAGAGCCUUUAAAACAGUCUCUCGGCAUUACUUUUCUCUUCCCACAGCUUCUGCAUCUGUGAGAAUUUACUUCCAACAAGCAAGAAAAGAGUUUUAAUGUAGCCAGUAAGUGAACUUACCCUGGCUUUUCUGGAUGUAAAG